UACGUAGGGUGCGAGCGUUAAUCGGAAUUACUGGGCGUAAAGUGUGCGCAGGCGGCCGCGCAAGUCGAGUGUGAAAGCCCCGGGCUUAACUUGGGAAUUGCGCUCGAAACUACGUGGCUGGAGUGUGGCAGAGGAAGGUGGAAUUCCACGUGUAGCGGUGAAAUGCGUAGAGAUGUAGAGGAACACCGAUGGCGAAGGCAGCCCCCUGGGCUAACACUGACGCUCAUGCACGAAAGCGUGGGGAGCAAACAGG
rnacentral:rRNA from 1 species